GGUGAGUAACGCGUGAGUAACCUGCCUUACACAAGGGGAUAGCCUUUGGAAACGAAGAAUAAUACCCUAUAAAACCAUAAAAGCACAUGCUAGAAUGGUCAAAGUGAUAGCGGUGUAAGAUGGACUUGCGUCUGAUUAGCUAGUUGGUGAGAUAAAAGCUCACCAAGGCAACGAUCAGUAGCCGGCUUGAGAGAGUGUACGGCCACAUUGGGACUGAGACACGGCCCAG
rnacentral:rRNA from 1 species